GAACCUGCGAGGAUGGCAGCGGUGUCCAGCAGUGAAGACUGAAGGUGUCCACAGCUGUGAUAGGGGCUUCUGGGUCCUCUUGCUUGCUUUUCUUCACAGGAAGAAGUCCCUCCUAGCUCCUAGGGGGUUUGAUUGUGAGCGGCAAGGGUGUGGCAGAGUAACCAAAUUCACCCUGUCUGUGGCAAACAAGCGCCACCACUACCAUCCCAGAGUGCCACCAUCUGCACUGACUUGAGGAAUUCCAGUUUGAUGAUAGCAGUUUUCACCCUAACUCUUGACCAGUAAAGAACCACCAUGGAACGCUUCAAGGAUGCUGAGUGCUUCCUUCAUGAAUUUAUUUCCACAUCUUUGAUAAAGGGCAUAUUCUGUUAACCCUCCUCGAGGACACAGGAAGGGAGAAGAAUGAAGAAGAAAAAAGAAGGGAUAAUGCAGCAUGAAGGUCCUUGU
rnacentral:lncRNA from 1 species